CGGUGGAGGAGGUAGCCAACACUGUUGUGUGUGUAUGUAUAUAUAUAUAUAUAUAUAUAUAUAUAUAUAUAUAUAUAUAUAUAUAUAUAUAUAUAUAUAUAUAUAUAUAUAUAUAUAUAUAUAUAUAUAUAUAUAUAUAUAUUUUUAUUUUUUAUUUUUUUUAUUGGGGUAGCCACCAAAAUAUUGGGAAAUAUAAAAAAAGACAAACUCUGUUCCGCAGAGUAGCUGUUGACUCUAGAGAACCUCGGGCCAAUCGCACAUCCCGGCGACUUUGCAUUCGGAUGUCAUCCAUAUCAACUUUCGAUGCCAGUUUCUGCGCCUACCAUGGUGACCUCGGGUAACAGGAAAUCAGGGUUCCAUUCCGUACAGGGACUCUGAGAAAUGGCUAUCACAUGCAAGGAAGGCAGCAGGUGCGCAAAUGACCCACCCCUGAUGCGGGAAGGUAGUGACCACAAAUAACAAUACAGGACUCUUUAGAGGCCCUGUAAUUGUAAUGAGUCCACUUGAAAUCCUUUAACUCUGAUCAAUUGGAGGGAAGUCUGGUGCAGAGCCACUGACCCGUGGGUGCUACAGCUGAAACUCCACUAUCGCUUGCUGCUGCUCACACAGUCUCUCCAG